GGAGUCGGCCAGGCAGUCGCGUCAUGCGCAAGCAUGCCGAGGAAAGUCCGGGCUCCACAGGGCACGGUGCUAAGGUAACGCCUGGGCGGCGCGAGCCGACGGAAAGUGCAACAGAAAGAUACCGCCGAUGGCCCGCAAGGGAUCAGGCAAGGGUGAAAUGGUGCGGUAAGAGCGCACCGCGAGUCCGGCAACGGACCGGCACGGCAAACCCCACCGGGAGCAAGGCCAAAUAGGGACCUCAUGACGUUGCCCGCGUCGGGUCCGGGUAGGCUGCUCGAGCGUAGCGGUGACGCUGCGCCUAGAGGAAUGACUGUCCACGACAGAACCCGGCUUAUCGGCCGGCUCCGCCA
rnacentral:RNase_P_RNA from 1 species